AUUGAACGCUGGCGGCAUGCCUUACACAUGCAAGUCGAACGGUAACAGGUCUUCGGAUGCUGACGAGUGGCGAACGGGUGAGUAAUACAUCGGAACGUGCCUAGUAGUGGGGGAUAACUACUCGAAAGAGUGGCUAAUACCGCAUGAGAUCUACGGAUGAAAGCAGGGGAUCGCAAGACCUUGUGCUACUAGAGCGGCCGAUGGCAGAUUAGGUAGUUGGUGGGAUAAAAGCUUACCAAGCCGACGAUCUGUAGCUGGACUUAGAGGACGAUCAGCGACACUGGGACUGAGACACGGCCCAGACUCCUACGGGAGGCAGCAGUGGGGAAUUUUGGACAAUGGGCGAAAGCCUGAUCCAGCAAUGCCGCGUGCAGGAUGAAGGCCUUCGGGUUGUAAACUGCUUUUGUACGGAACGAAAAGCCCCGGGUUAAUACCCUGGGGUCAUGACGGUACCGUAAGAAUAAGCACCGGCUAACUACGUGCCAGCCGCCGCGGUAA
rnacentral:rRNA from 1 species